rfam:Ciona savignyi cont_18813, whole genome shotgun sequence.
GCCCGGCUAUCUCAGUCGGUAGAGCGUUGGACUCUCAAUCCAACGGUCGUGGGUUCGAGCCCCUCGUUGGGCG